GAGAAAGUGACAGAGGGGUUAUGUGUCCGGCUUGAAACCGGUGAACGGGGGUUCAAUUCCCUCCUUUCUCG
rnacentral:tRNA from 1 species